rnacentral:rRNA from 1 species
CAGCAGCCGCGGUAAUACGUAGGUGGCGAGCGUUGUCCGGAAUCAUUGGGCGUAAAGGGAGCGCAGGCGGGCAUGUAAGUCUUUCUUAAAAGUGCGGGGCUCAACCCCGUGAUGGGAAAGAAACUAUGUGUCUUGAGUACAGGAGAGGAAAGCGGAAUUCCCAGUGUAGCGGUGAAAUGCGUAGAUAUUGGGAGGAACACCAGUGGCGAAGGCGGCUUUCUGGACUGCAACUGACGCUGAGGCUCGAAAGCCAGGGGAGCGAACGGGAUUAGAUACCCCCGUAGUCCCUGUCUCUUAUACA